GGCUCAGAACGAACGCUGGCGGCGUGCUUAACACAUGCAAGUCGAACGCGAAAUUUUUCUUCGGAAAGAGAGUAGAGUGGCGCACGGGUGAGUAACGCGUAGGUUAUCUACCUCGGCAUCUGGAAUAACUCACCGAAAGGUGUGCUAAUACCGGAUACGUUGAGUAAUCAAGAAAGGUGGCCUCUGAAUAUGCUACUGUGCUGAGAUGAGCUUGCGUACCAUUAGCUAGUUGGUAGGGUAAUGGCCUACCAAGGCGACGAUGGUUAGCGGGUCUGAGAGGAUGAUCCGCCACACUGGAACUGGAACACGGACCAGACUCCUACGGGAGGCAGCAGUGAGGAAUAUUGCGCAAUGGGGGCAACCCUGACGCAGCGACGCCGCGUGGAUGAUGAAGGCCUUCGGGUCGUAAAAUCCUGUCAGAUGGAAAGAAGUGCAUGGUGGCUAAUACCUGCUAUGUUUGACGGUACCAUCGAAGGAAGCACCGGCUAACUCCGUGCCAGCAGCCGCGGUAAUACGGAGGGUGCAAGCGUUGUUCGGAAUUACUGGGCGUAAAGCGCACGUAGGCGGUUUGCUAAGUCAGAUGUGAAAGCCCAUGGCUCAACCAUGGACGUGCAUUUGAAACUGGCAGACUUGAGUAUUGGAGGGGGUGGUGGAAUUCCCGGUGUAGAGGUGAAAUUCGUAGAUAUCGGGAGGAAUACCGGUGGCGAAGGCGACCACCUGGCCAAAUACUGACGCUAAGGUGCGAAAGCGUGGGGAGCAAACAGGAUUAGAUACCCUGGUAGUCCACGCCGUAAACGAUGUCAACUAGGUGUUGGGACGGUUAAUCGUCUCAUUGCCGCAGCUAACGCAUUAAGUUGACCGCCUGGGGAGUACGGUCGCAAGAUUAAACUC
rnacentral:rRNA from 1 species